GAGAGAGAGAGAGGGGAGCAGACUGAGCAUGCUCACUCUGCUCCCCUCUCUCUCCUUCAGGAGGGAGGGAGAGGGGAGCAGACUGAGCUCCUCUCACUCCGCUCCCCUCCUCCUCCUUCAGGAGGGAGAGGGGAGCAGACUGAGCUCCUCUCACUCUGCUCCCCUCUCUCUCCUUC